rnacentral:rRNA from 1 species
ACAUCCAGCGAACUUGGCAGAGAUGCCUUGGUGCCUUCGGGAACGCUGAGACAGGUGCUGCAUGGCUGUCGUCAGCUCGUGUUGUGAAAUGUUGGGGUUAAGUCCCGCAACGAGCGCAACCCUUAUCCUUUGUUGCCAGCGAUUCGGUCGGGAACUCAAAGGAGACUGCCGGUGAUAAACCGGAGGAAGGUGGGGAUGACGUCAAGUCAUCAUGGCCCUUACGAGUAGGGCUACACACGUGCUACAAUGGCGCAUACAAAGAGAAGCGACCUCGCGAGAGCAAGCGGACCUCAUAAAGUGCGUCGUAGUCCGGAUCGGAGUCUGCAACUCGACUCCGUGAAGUCGGAAUCGCUAGUAAUCGUGGAUCAGAAUGCCACGGUGAAUACGUUCCCGGGCCUUGUACACACCGCCCGUCACACCAUGGGAGUGGGUUGCAAAAGAAGUAGGUAGCUUAACCCUCGGGAGGGCGCUUACCACUUUGUGAUUCAUGACUGGGGUGAAGUCGUAACAAGGUAGGCGUAGCGAG